AGUGAACGCUGGCGGUAGGCCUAACACAUGCAAGUCGAACGGCAGCACAGUAAGAGCUUGCUCUUACGGGUGGCGAGUGGCGGACGGGUGAGGAAUACAUCGGAAUCUACUUUUUCGUGGGGGAUAACGUAGGGAAACUUACGCUAAUACCGCAUACGACCUACGGGUGAAAGCAGGGGAUCUUCGCACCUUGCGCGAUUGAAUGAGCCGAUGUCGGAAUAGCUAGUUGGCGGGGUAAAGGCCCACCAAGGCGACGAUCCGUAGCUGGUCUGAGAGGAUGAUCAGCCACACUGGAACUGAGACACGGUCCAGACUCCUACGGGAGGCAGCAGUGGGGAAUAUUGGACAAUGGGCGCAAGCCUGAUCCAGCCAUACCGCGUGGGUGAUGAAGGCCUUCGGGUUGUAAAGCCCUUUUGUUGGGAAAGAAAAGCAGCAGGUUAAUACCCCGCUGUUCUGACGGUACCCAAAGAAUAAGCACCGGCUAACUUCGUG
rnacentral:rRNA from 1 species